rnacentral:rRNA from 1 species
UACAGAGGUCCCAAGCGUUGUUCGGAUUCACUGGGUGUAAAGGGUGCGUAGGUGGUGAGGUAAGUCGGAUGUGAAAGCUCGGAGCUCAACUCCGAAAUGGCAUUGGAAACUACCUUGCUCGAGGGUUGGAGGGGGGACUGGAAUACUUGGUGUAGCAGUGAAAUGCGUAGAUAUCAAGUGGAACACCAGUGGCGAAGGUGAGUUUUUGGACAACUCCUGACACUGAGGCACGAAAGCUAGGGGAGUAAACAGG